rnacentral:rRNA from 1 species
UAACAAGGAUUCCCCUAGUAACUGCGAGUGAAGCGGGAAAAGCUCAAAUUUUGAAUCUGGCGGUCUCUGGCCGUCCGAGUUGUAAUCUAGAGAAGUGCUUUCCGCGCUGGACCGUGUACAAGUCUCCUGGAACGGAGCGUCAUAGAGGGUGAGAAUCCCGUCUCUGACACGGAUCCCCAGUGCUUUGUGAUGCGCUCUCGACGAGUCGAGUUGUUUGGGAAUGCAGCUCAAAUUGGGUGGUAAAUUCCAUCUAAAGCUAAAUACAGGCGAGAGACCGAUAGCGAACAAGUACCGUGAGGGAAAGAUGAAAAGAACUUUGGAAAGAGAGUUAAACAGUACGUGAAAUUGCUGAAAGGGAAACGCUUGAAGUCAGUCACAUUGGCUUGAGAUCAGCCUUGCUUUUGCUUGGUGUAUUCUCGAGUUGAUGGGUCAGCAUCAAUUUCGGUUGCUGGAUAAAAGCAGGGGGAAUGUGGCACCUUUCGGGGUGUGUUAUAGCCCUUUGUUGUAUACAGUGACUGGGAUUGAGGUACUCAGCACGACCUUCGGGUUUGGGGCUUCGGCCUACAUUUCGUGCUUAGGAUGCUGGCAUAAUGGCUUUAAUCGAC